rnacentral:misc_RNA from 1 species
GAGAGAGAGAGAGUUCUAUCUUUUGUUUAAGUCAAAAUUUAGGGGGGCAAAUAUUAAAUUCAAAGUUAAGAGGGAAAUUUCAAAAUAUAAUAUUUUCAUAAAUAGCAAUUUAAAAAAAAAAAAGGUUAAUGGGGGCAAUUAGCUUCGCCAUUGCUGAAUGAGCAUAUAGAGUGUGACUCAUUGUAGUAGGAUCUUGAAUGGGUUGGGGGAAUAUGGAUAUAGAAACGUAGAUUAAUUUCUAUCAUUCAUUUCAAAUAAAACUUUGAUGAUUAUCAAGAAAUGAAUAUUUGUGAAGAUGGGAAAUUUGAGAGAAACAGAUGGAGAAGUGUAGAGACUAUAAACAAAAUGAGCUCUUCCCUAUUUGCCUAUAUGGGUAAUGACUGUAACUCAUUAACGCAAUGUUCGGGAGCUACGUGAGGAGGUAUGUUAAGGCAUUUUUUAUUAUUUUUUUAUAAGGUAAGGUAAUUGAAAUAUUUAGUUUCAUCUUGGUUCGGAGUAAUGUAUGAUAAUUGAUGGUUUAGUAUUCUUGUAUUAUUUGGGUGGAAGGUAUGCGAAGGUAAGGUAAGUAUAAAGUUACUUAAAUAUCCUUAUUGUGUAAAGAUGUAUGUUUUAAUAUUUAAAUAUGGAUAAGUAUAUUUAAAUAAGGAUAAGUCUAAAAUUUUUAAAAUGUAUUGAGUGUAAUAUGGGUAAUAAAAAAUUUGGAGGUUUCAAAGCCUAUUUAACCCACCAAUUUGGUGUGGAAAUUGAAGGCCAAGAAAGAUAGAAUUAGCCCAAGUCAAAGUGACGUUUUUGGCAUGCUUGUAGGUCUAAGGUAGCGUGCACCAAUCCUUGUGCAAGUAGGAUAAUGAAGCCUAAGUGAAAGGCAAAUCCAAUUUACAUAAGGAGUUGUUUCAACCUAGGUGCACCAAAAUGCUAGUUUUGGUCCGUUUUUUUUUGGCGCUCCAUAGUUUGGCAUGUGCUUGUGUUUUCUUUGUUCGUUUUGAUUGUUUUAAGUUGUUUGGGUUUAUUUGGAAUUGCUUGAGUGUUGUUUAUUGUGUUUAGAUCUUGGGUUAUAUGUGUUUAGAGUUACAAUUGUGCAAGUUUGGUUAUUCUAACUUGUUGGCGGAAUUGCUUCUUGCUACUUCCACUCUAAUUUCACAUAGUUUAUUUAUUGUAACUUUUAAGGCAUAUCAUUAGCACAAAAAAUUAAACUCUAAUUAAGUUAAAUAGUAAUGUAAACAAUAAUUUAUGGUACUUGUCAAUUAUAAGUUCAUAGCAUUGGAUAGGCGGUGGCUAUGGUUAUUGUUGUUGAAGUGCAAUUUUUUCACAAUGAUUGGAGCACUACAGAUUUCAUUAUAAUAAUUCAAUUUCAAAUGACAAAAAAUUUUCAUUUAAUAGUGUGAUUUAUGUUAUAGAUGACCCAAAAAUUUAGUAGAAUUGUUAGACAGAUGGGCAUUAACCUGCAAUAAAAGUAGAGUAUAUUUUUCUUCAACUCCAGCAU